GUGUCAGCAGCCGCGGUAAUACGAAGGGGGCUAGCGUUGUUCGGAAUUACUGGGCGUAAAGCGCGCGCAGGCGGCUCUUCAAGUCAGGGGUGAAAGCCCAGAGCUCAACUCUGGAAUUGCCUUUGAGACUGUAGAGCUUGAGUACGGGAGAGGUGAGUGGAAUUCCCAGUGUAGAGGUGAAAUUCGUAGAUAUUGGGAAGAACACCGGUGGCGAAGGCGGCUCACUGGCCCGUUUCUGACGCUCAGGCGCGACAGCGUGGGGAUCAAACAGGAUUAGAUACCCUGGUAGUCC
rnacentral:rRNA from 1 species